rnacentral:rRNA from 1 species
GACGAACGCUGGCGGCGUGCUUAACACGUGCAAGUCGAACGGUGAUGCUCCAGCUUGCUGGAGUGGAUCAGUGGCGAACGGGUGAGUAACACGUGAGCAACCUGCCCCAGACUCUGGAAUAAGCGCUGGAAACGGCGUCUAAUACUGGAUACGAAACUGGCCCGCAUGGGCAUGGUUUGGAAAGUUUUUCGGUUUGGGAUGGGCUCGCGGCCUAUCAGCUUGUUGGUGAGGUAAUGGCUCACCAAGGCGACGACGGGUAGCCGGCCUGAGAGGGCGACCGGCCACACUGGGACUGAGACACGGCCCAGACUCCUACGGGAGGCAGCAGUGGGGAAUAUUGCACAAUGGGCGAAAGCCUGAUGCAGCGACGCCGCGUGAGGGAUGACGGCCUUCGGGUUGUAAACCUCUUUCAGCAGGGAAGAAGCGAAAGUGACGGUACCUGCAGAAGAAGCACCGGCUAACUACGUG